rnacentral:rRNA from 1 species
UACGUAGGGUGCAAGCGUUAAUCGGAAUUACUGGGCGUAAAGCGUGCGCAGGCGGUUAUGUAAGUCAGAUGUGAAAUCCCCGGGCUCAACCUGGGAAUGGCAUUUGAGACUGCAUGGCUAGAGUGUGUCAGAGGGGGGUAGAAUUCCACGUGUAGCAGUGAAAUGCGUAGAUAUGUGGAGGAAUACCGAUGGCGAAGGCAGCCCCCUGGGAUAACACUGACGCUCAUGCACGAAAGCGUGGGGAGCAAAC